UUCCGGUUGAUCCUGCCGGAGGACAUUGCUAUUGGGAUUCGAUUUAGCCAUGCUAGUCGCACGAGUUUAGACUCGUGGCAGAUAGCUCAGUAACACGUGGCCAAGCUACCCUUCAGACCAGAAUAACCUCGGGAAACUGAGGCUAAGACUGGAUACGGUAUGCACGCUGGAAUGCAGCAUACUCCAAACGUUCCGACGCUGAAGGAUGCGGCUGCGGCCGAUUAGGUAGACGGUGGGGUAAUGGCCCACCGUGCCAAUAAUCGGUACGGGUGGUGAGAGCCAGAACCCGGAGACGGAAUCUGAGACAAGAUUCCGGGCCCUACGGGGCGCAGCAGGCGCGAAACCUUUACACUGCACGCCAGUGCGAUAGGUAGAUCCCAAGGGACCCGCACAGGCAUAGUGCCUGUGCUUUUCGGUACCCUAAGGCGGUACCAGAAUAAGGGCUGGGCAAGACCGGUGCCAGCCGCCGCGGUAAUACCGGCAGCCCGAGUGAUGGCCGAUUUUAUUGGGCCUAAAGCGUCCGUAGCUGGCCACGCAAGUCCAUCGGAAAAUCCACCCGCUCAACGGGUGGGCGACCGGUGGAAACUGCGUGGCUUGGGACCGGAAGGCGCGACGGGUACGUCCGGGGUAGGAGUGAAAUCCCGUAAUCCCGAACGGACCGCCGAUGGCGAAAGCACGUCGCGAAAACGGAUCCGACAGUGAGGGACGAAAGCCAGGGUCUCGAACCGGAUUAGAUACCCGGGUAGUCCUGGCCGUAAACAAUGUCUGCUAGGUGUGGCUCCCGCUACGAGCGGGUGCUGUGCCGCAGGGAAGCCGCUAAGCAGACCGCCUGGGAAGUACGUCCGCAAGGAUGAAACUUAAAGGAAUUGGCGGGGGAGCAC
rnacentral:rRNA from 1 species